GCUCCUCUGUUAAAUUUGAAGGAUUUAGUUCCAUAUCAACUAGUGUGAUCAGUUCUUUGGGAAAGUAACGCCCUCAUUUAGGUGUCUCCUAAACUCAUUUAAAACUUGUCACACGGAUAUAAACCAGCCAGUGCCAGGAUGGAUGGAUCGAGCAACACAGAGCCACAGUUGCACUUGUUUCCACUGUUCCACGUCUUCCUCCUUUUUGGGUCAUUCCUCUAUUUCAGUGGAGCGUGACUUCCAUUUACUGAGAAGGGAUGCCCGAGAGAUAAAUUUUGUGAAAAAUGGAGGUCUGAAAAUCUUUUUAUUCUAUCUUGCUUUUGGCUGUGACUCAUUAAGAAUUCUAGCAAAGAUCCUGAUUUAAUUCGUGUCAGUGGAGCUCACUUUUUUUAAAAAUAAAUAAUUGUAUUAUGAAGGCAGAAUUGGGAGUAACUGCUCCAGAGUAAUUCAAAGUGUCUCCAUAGUGAUUUUUUGGAUAAAUCUCAAUUUAUUCUCUUUGAAAGACUAUCCUUUAUUCUGAAAGUAUCCUUCUUGCUCCUUUUGAACUGUCUGCCCUUUUAUGAAACUGACAGGAGUUCCCUGGUGGUUUUGUGGUUAAGGAUCUAGCAUGGUCACUGCUGUGGUGUGGGUUUGAUCCCGGGCCUAGGAACUUCUGCAUGCUGCUGCUGGCGUGGCUGAAAAAACAAAAAAUGAAAGUGACUGUAGAUGUCAGGUUUGCUUGUUUUGUUUGCCUAUCUUCUUAUUUGACAAAAUAAAAAGCCCCCAAAUUUAAACUGUGUAUUACUGGUCUAUGAAAUCUAAAAGUCUGGGACCUACAUUUCCUGAUGCAUGGGCACUGAUAAAUACUUUUUUUUUUUUUUUCUGUCUUUUUAGGGCCACACCCUCGGCAUAUGGAGGUUCCCAGGCUAGGGGUCAAAUCAGAGCUGCAGCUUCCAGCCUUCACCACAGCCCCAUUGAGGGAUCCAAGCCGCGUCUGCAAUUUAUACUGCAGCUCACAGCAAUGCUGGAUCCUUUAACCCACUGAGGCCGGGGAUUGAACACGAAUCUUCAUGGAUACUAGUCAGGUUUUUAACCUGCUGAGCCACAACAGAAACUCCCUGAUAAAUUCUUCUGAGUUGAUACCAGGACCUUUUUUUUUGUCUUCCAAAGACAAAAACCGGGGAGUUCCCAUCAUGGCUCAGCAGUUAACGAAUCUGACUAGCAUCCAUGAGGACGCAGGUUCGAUCCUGGGCCUUGCUCAGUGGGUUAAGGAUCUGGUGUUGCCACAAGCUGUGGUGUAGGUUGCAGAUGAGACUCAGAUCCCGUGUUGUCGUGGCUGUGGUGUAGGCCGGCGGCUACAGCUCUGAUUGGACCCCUAGCCUGGGAACCUUCAUAUGCUGCGAGUGCAGCCCUAAAAAGCAAAACAAACAAACCAAAAAAAUGGAAACAUGUUCAGCAAAAUAAAACUAAUCUCAAAACUUUUAUUUCAUAGAAUUUAAUGUUGACUUAAUGAAAAGUGACCUUUCUGUGCCACCUGUAUUCAUUAGUUUUGUGUAAGGUGAUGUUACCUGCAGAUUUGAGAGAUCCUGUUGUGGCUCAGCGGGUUAGGAACCCAGCCUAGGAUCCAUGAGGAUGUGGGUUUGAUCCCUGGCCUCACUCAGUGGGUUAAGGACCUGACGUUGCCACAGACUGUGGUGUAGUCACAGAUGUGGCUCUGAUCUGGUGUUGCUGUGGAUGUGGUGUAGACCAGCAGCUGCAGCUCCAGUUUGACCCCUAGCCCAAGGUACUUACUUACGUAUGUUUAGGUGCAGCCUUGAAAAGGAAAAAAAAAAAAAAAAAAAAAAAAAAAAAAAAAAA
rnacentral:lncRNA from 1 species